UACAGCCAUAUCACGUUGAAACACCGGUUCCCAUAAGAUCACCGAAGUUAAACAACGUCGAACCUGGUCAGUUCCUAGAUGGGUGACAGUAUGGGAAUAUCAGUUGCUGUAU